GGAAUAUUGGGCAAUGGAGGAAACUCUGACCCAGCGACGCCGCGUGCGGGAUGAAGGCCUUCGGGUUGUAAACCGCUUUCAGUAGGGAAGAAGCGAAAGUGACGGUACCUACAGAAGAAGCACCGGCUAACUAUGUGCCAGCAGCCGCGGUAAUACAUAGGGUGCAAGCGUUGUCCGGAAUUAUUGGGCGUAAAGAGCUCGUAGGUGGUUCGAUACGUCGGAUGUGAAAAUCAGGGGCUCAACCCCUGACCUGCAUCCGAUACGGUCGAGCUGGAGUUUGGUAGGGGAGACUGGAAUUCCUGGUGUAGCGGUGGAAUGCGCAGAUAUCAGGAGGAACACCGAUGGCGAAGGCAGGUCUCUGGGCCAAUACUGACACUGAGGAGCGAAAGCGUGGGGAGCGAACAGGAUUAGAUACCCUGGUAGUCCACGCCGUAAACGGUGGGCGCUAGUUGUGCGAACCUUCCACGGUUUGUGCGACGCAGCUAACGCAUUAAGCGCCCCGCCUGGGGAGUACGAUCGCAAGAUUAAAACUCAAAUGAAUUGACGG
rnacentral:rRNA from 1 species